ACCUUUGUUGACUGUGUUGUAUCGAUCUGCACAGCAGUAGCAUGGCAGAAGGAGAAAAAUAGAUCCAAUGAAAGAUAGACAGAUGCUGCAAAAGUUGGAAACCCUGUAAUGCUUUACAGCAGUGGUGCUCUGGAAAUGACUGGUAAACAGCUACUUGUUAGUUCCUUCAGAAUAUCGAGAAUGGGUUCAAGCACAAUUUAAAUCAUUUUUAUAGUGGAAAUGGAGGCUGAAGAAAACGAGUGGCUGGAAGAUUUAAAUGAAGGCAUGGAGCAAGGGUGUCUACAGGAAAAUGUGACGCAUGAUGGUGAUAUGGAAAAUCUACACAUUGAGAGUUCGCAGGCUGUUAAUAUUUCCUGCAUUUCAUGUGUCUGUCCCAAGCCUGAACCCUGAAAGCUUGAAGCAGGAGUUUUUUUGGUACCAAUAAAAAUAGUUUACUUUAA